rnacentral:lncRNA from 1 species
GCAGACGUCUCGACUCCCGGCGGCGGCGCGUAUGGCAGAAGGUCGUAGACCCAUGGGAUGACUGGGUCGCCUGGAUUCGCGGCGUUGCAGGACCAGGCAAGCAGUGGCAUCCACGAACCAAGUAAGUAGAUUUGCGGCUUUGCUCUGCUUUUGCCAGUUUCAGUUCUCGUGAGGGUAUCAAUCUGACUAUACAUUUAUGUAAACUGUGAUCUGAUUUGAAUUGGAACCAUUACCAUAUUAGCUGGAUUUUAUUUAUGGACUUUGCUAUAGAUUGCGUCUGCAGGAAAUCCAAUUUCCGGCUGCACACUCCAAUCUGUGAAAGAAAUUAUUUUAGUUGCUAAAAAAGGAAAAAAACAGAUCAGAUCUAGGGUUUGCCGACUCGGAUGCCCUCACCCUGCCAUCGGCCACCGCCCUGCUUCCGACGAACCCUAGCGCCCGCGGCGGCUGCCCUCUUCCCCUCCCCGCCGCCAUCUUCUCCAGCUCUGGCGAGCUCACUCGUAGCCAUAUCUCCAGCUCCAACGAGCCUGCCCGCCCUGAUCUGACCCGAUCGCCCUUGCGGCCGCCAGCUCCAAUGAGCUUGUCCGCCCCGACCUGACUCGAUCGCACUUGCUGCCGCGAGCUCUCUUAAGCCACCCAUCGACCAUCUCCACCACCUGUCCUACCUGCCUCCUCCCUGGCCAACCAUUCUAUAGCCCACCGUAGGUAGGGAGGGAGGGAGGGAGGGAGGGAGGGAGGGAGGGAGAGGGAGGGAGAGGCCUACCUCGCCAGAUCCGGUGGAUGUGUUGCCGUCGUCGCCAUGGCCGCACGCGGAGGAGGCGGUGGUGAUUAGGCGCGGAGGCCAUUGGUUAGGUGCUCGCCAGAGAGAGAGAGAGCCAGGAAAGGCUGAAGAUGAGUGUGCGACACGUGGGUGGAUGUGCGGGCAGUUCCUCCGGAGGAUGCGUGCUUUUAUUUUAGUAUUUCCGUCUAUUUAUUGGGAUUCAUUUUGAUGACCUUCGAAGCGGGUGUUGUACAGCUAUAGGAUUAUUACUACUAGACUUUAGAUACGGGAUUAUUAUUACUAGACUUCAGAUACGGCCUCCGUUGAGAAUUUUGAAGGACUAGUUAUGCAAUUUAUAUUCAUCUCUCUCAUGAACAGAUUGGUGCGGCAGGGAAUAACCAAACUUGAUUCCAAGCAAAAUUACGCCUCUUUCCUGGCCCAUUGUACAUGGAUGACCAUGUUUAGCUUCAUCUUCUUAUUUUGACAGCUCUGCUUUGGUAUCUUACUUGAAGGUCUUCGGCCAUCUUGAGAUGCAUCAUUCCAAAACUCUAGUAUGGAAAACUAUGUUUGCAUGAGCAAAAAAUAAUAUGCCUACCUAACUUGAUACUAGGAUAGAUGUGCACAUUAAUAUUUAGGGCUAACGGCCGUGCAUGCGUUAGGCCAGCCGCCAGCCGCACGCAAGGUCACUCUAGCAUAGGCACGUGGUCCUCAUCUUCUUCCUUCCUACGGUCCCACCACCCCGCCUUCAUCGCCCCCGCCACCGGCGAGCUAGGGUUUUAUUAGAGCUCUACGGCCAUGGCUGUGGCCAUGCAGCUCCGGCGAAACCCUAGCUCGCUGGUGGCGCCACCUUCUUCCCCUCACCUCUCCCUCUCCCGCCCUCGCCCCGACUUGGCUCGACCGCUGCUACCACCGCUAGGGUCCCUAAAUCGCUCGGUCACCAUCCCCACUGCUGCCUGCUUGCCUCCCCUGGCCGGCCCCUUCUAUAUUUGCCGGAGUUGGAGAAGAAAGAGGGGGGAGAGGCUCGCCAGAACUCUAGAAAGCAAAUCGAGGAGGAGGAGGAGGAGGAGGAGGAGGAGGAACUUGCUGGGCACCAGGGAGAGAGAGAGAGAGGUGGGGUGCAAGGUGUGGAGGUGGAAGAUGACCUGUGCGUGCGGGCAUGAGGUGGGAAGGUGGGGCGCGUGUGUGGUGCGAACUUAAAACGCUCGCUUGUUUUUAAGUCUUUGCGUUUAUAAAUUGUUAAUAUUAGGCUACCAUAUAUGGAUAGUAGUAUUUAGUAAUUUAUGUGAAAAAAGCUCCCUUUGGGUUUUACUAUGCAUGAGGUCCUGUAUGCAAGAUACUAUAAUAGCCUUUUUUCUUUGAAAGCUAUCAUGGUACCUUCAGUUCAAGGUUGGGCGAACGUGGACUUUCGAUUAGGAUCAAACGGUUGAGAUCACGUCUAAAGAACAUGGGCCUGCGGGAGCUGAUGGCUCCUUUAUUUUCUGGAGCAUUUAAUGUGGGUCUUUUUAUUAUUUUCAUGGGCCAAAUUUUCAGCUAAGUUUAAGUUUAUUAUAUUCAAUGCAUCUCAUUAUUAUUUAGAGAAUCAUAGCACUGCCUUAUGUCUGAUGUUUGUUUUGCCCACAUAAUGAUUAUUUUCUACUACUAAUGAUUACUUUUCUGGUCGGAUGGAACCGACAAGAAAUCAUAAGAUUUCAUUGUGGCUUAUGUACAUAACUUUGACCAAUGUUAACUUAUAUGCAUACGUUCACAAAAAUUAUGUUUAGUUUCUUUUUCAUUUCUGCCUAGCAGUUAUGCGAGAUAGAAAUGUCAUUAACUUAUUUUAACCAGAUCAGCGCAGGAUUUUAAUUAAAUGCAUGAUAUAGUGUUUAUAUAUCUUGCUAAUAUUGUUUUAAUUUAUUUUAAGUCAGCGCUAUGUCCUCCACAGGCUUAUAGAAAGAGAAAAUUUAGUUGGCUCACUUAUUUUUGAAUAGUGAUCAUGCCAUACAUGAGCAUUCUCCUACUCUCCCAACAACAGAAGAGUAGGAGCGUGCUCACGUAUGACAUGAUCAUAGUUCAAAAUUAAGAGAGCCAAUUGAAUUUUCUCUUUCCAUAGUGGGAAGUUGGUCUAGUCGAGGAGAGGGAUCUCUUUGGUCCUAUCCAUAACCUCUGAAGGACGUGACACUAACUCAAAGUGAAUUAGAAUAACAUUAGUAAGGUUAUGUAAACAUUAUGUCGUGCAUAAAUUAAAAUCCUACGUUGAUCUGAUUAAAACAUGCUAAUGGCGAUUCUAAUUUGCAUCACUGUUAGGUAGAACCAAAAAAUAAACUAAAACAUAAUCUUUUGAACAUAUUAUGCAUAUAAAUUAACUUUGGUCAAAGAUACAUACAUAAUCUUGUGAACAUAUGCAUAUAAAUUAACUUUUGUCAAAGAUAGAUACAUCCACAACGAAAUCUUUAAUUAGAAUUUUUCAUUGCAUCCAUUCUUACUAGAAAAUUAUUUAUAACUUAGCAGCGAAAAUAAUCAAUAUAUGGGCCGAGGAGUCCAUUAUGUCACCCUCUCUCUAGCAGCGUCUGUGUGUGAAAAUGCGGGGCACGAAGAGCGAAUGGGGAUUAGGGUUAGUGUUUUUUUUUCACAUGCCGUUUUGGUUUGAGGUUGGGCGAACGUGGAAUGUCAAUUAGGAUCAGACGUCCUAGAUCGCAUCCGAAGCAUGGGCCUGCGGGAGCUGAUGGUUCCUUUAUUUUCUUAGGUAUUUAAUAUGGGUUUUUAUUAUUUCCAUGGGCUAAAUUUUCAGCUAAGUUUAAGUUUAUUAUAUUCAGUGCAUCUCAUUAUUAUUUAGAGAAUCAUAGCAUUGCCUUAUGUAUGAUGUUUAUUUUGCCCACAUAAUGGUUAUAUCUGCAGCUUAUGCUUACAUAGCAUAAGAUUCAAUAGUGGCUUAUGUAUAUAUCAUUGACCAAUGUUAACUUAUAUGCAUACGUUCACAAAAUUAUGUUUAGUUUCUUUUUCGUUUCUGCCCAACAGUAAUGCGAGUUAGAAAUGUCAUUAAAUUAUUUUAACCAGAUCAGAGCAGGAUUUUAAUUAAAUGCAUGAUGUAGUGUUUAUAUAUCUUGCUAAUAUUGUUUUAAUUUAUUUUAAGUCAGCGCUAUGUACUCCACAGGCUUUGGACAUGAUUAAAGAGAUUUCUCUUCUUGUUUGGACCAGUUUUCUAUUAUAGAAAGAGAAAAUUUAGUUGGCUCACUUAUUUUUGAAUAGUGAUUAUGCCAUACAUGAGCAUUCUCCUACUCUCCCAACAACACAAGAGUAGGAGCGUGCUCACGUAUGACAUGAUCAUAGUUCAAAAUUAAGAGACCAAUUGAAUUUUCUCUUUCCAUAGUGGGAAGUUGGUCUAGUCGAGGAGAGGGAUCUCUUUGGUCCUAUCCAUAACCUCUGAAGGACGUGACACUAACUCAAAGUGAAUUAGAAUAACAUUAGUAAGGUUAUGUAAACAUUAUGUCGUGCAUAAAUUAAAAUCCUACGUUGAUCUGAUUAAAACAUGCUAAUGGCGAUUCUAAUUUGCAUCACUGUUAGGUAGAACCAAAAAAUAAACUAAAACAUAAUCUUUUGAACAUAUUAUGCAUAUAAAUUAACUUUGGUCAAAGAUACAUACAUAAUCUUGUGAACAUAUGCAUAUAAAUUAACUUUUGUCAAAGAUAGAUACAUCCACAACGAAAUCUUUAAUUAGAAUUUUUCAUUGCAUCCCUUCUAACUAGAAAAUUAUUUAUAACUUAGCAGCGAAAAUAAUCAAUAUAUGGGCCGAGGAGUCCAUUAUGUCACCCUCUCUCUAGCAGCGUCUGUGUGUGAAAAUGCGGGGCACGAAGAGCGAAUGGGGAUUAGGGUUAGUGUUUUUUUUUCACAUGCCGUUUUGGUUUGAGGUUGGGCGAACGUGGAAUGUCAAUUAGGAUCAGACGUCCUAGAUCGCGUCCGAAGCAUGGGCCUGCGGGAGCUGAUGGUUCCUUUAUUUUCUUAGGUAUUUAAUAUGGGUUUUUAUUAUUUUCACGGGCUAAAUUUUCAGCUAAGUUUAGGUUUAUUAUAUUCAGUGCAUCUCAUUAUUAUUUAGAGAAUCAUAGCAUUGCCUUAUGUAUGAUGUUUAUUUUGCCCACAUAAUGGUUAUAUCUGCAGCUUAUGCUUAUAUAGCAUAAGAUUCAAUUGUGGCUUAUGUAUAUAUCUUUGGCCAAUGGCCAAUGUUAACUUAUAUGAAUAUGUUCACAAAAUCAUGUUUAGUUUAUUUUUCGUUUCUGCCCAACGUUUAUGCGAAUUAGAAAUGUCAUUCAUUUGUUUUAACUAGAUCAGUGCAGGAUUUUAAUUAAUGCAUGAUGUAAUGUUUACUUAUCUUGCUUAUGUUAUUUAAAUUUAUUUUGAUUUUAGUCGGUGCUGUGUCCUUCACAGAUUUUGGACAGGAUUAAAGAGAUUUCUCUCCUUGUUGUAAAAAAUGAGAUUUCUCUCCUUAUCUGGACCAACUUUCUAUUAUAGAAAGAGAAAAUUUAGAUGGCUCUGUUAUUUUUUCAACUGUGAUCAUGCCAUACAUGAGCAUUCUCUACUCUCCCAACAACACAAGAGUAGGAGCGUGCUCACGUAUGACAUGAUCACAGUUCAAAAUUAAGAGAGCCAAUUGAAUUUCCUUUUCCAUAAUAGGAAGUUGGUCCAUUCGAGAAGAGAAAUCUCUUUGAUCCUGUCCAUAACCUUUAAAGGCCGUAACACUAACUCAAAGUAAAUUAGAAUAACAUUAAUAAAGGUAUAUAAACAUUAUGUCGUGCAUAAAUUAAAAUCCUACGUUAGUCUGAUUAAAACAUGCUAAUGACGUUUCUAUUUUGCAUCACUGUUGGGUAGAACCAAAAAAUAAAGUAAAACAUAAUCUUGUGAACAUGUUAUGCAUAUAAAUUAACUUUGGCGAAAGAUACAUACAUAAUCGUGUGAACAUAUGCAUAUAAAACUUUGGUCAAAGAUACAUACAUAAGCCACAACGAAAUCUUUAAUUAGAAUUUUCAAUUGCUUCCAUUCUAACUAGAAAAAUAAUUAUAGCUUAGCAGCGAAAAUAAUCAAUAUAUAGGCAAAAUAAACAUUAUAUGUAAGAUAUCAUAAAACAAUGCCAUGAUUCUCUAAACGAUGCAUUAAAAUAAUGAGCGUAAAACAUAGCUCAUUUGGCACAUGAAAGCAACAAAGGACCCACGUUAAAAUAGCCCAGAAAUUAUAUUAAGAAAUAAUUAUAAUGUUCUUAAGCAAAUAAUCAAUCAUUAGUGCCCCAUUAUAAUUAUGAUUAUAAUUAUGCCCUUCAGACAGCCAUAAUAUAAUACUCAAAAUAGAUAUUGCAUAAUUUCUAAUUGACCAAAAUUAUCCCAAAAUAAUAAAGUUAUGGCACAACGUAUCUCAUUCAACAUUUUGACUUAUUGAACGGUGCUGCUAAAAAAAUUGAACAGUAAGUAAUGCACUGAAAAAUAAGGGAGCCUAGAAACUUGAUGAAUUUGGUCCAUACUUUGAGUACCCCAACUUUUGCAAAAGUCUGACUUUCCUUCCUCAACUCUAAAACCAGAAAUAAUUCCUCCACCCAAAACCGGUCACUUGACAUCCAAGGCUGUUUCUCUCAGUGUUUUUUCUUUCUUUCUUUCUUUUAUAUUUAUUUCGUCUGAAUCGCUAAAAAAUCAUAGUAAAUCAUAAAAAAAUCAUAAAAUAAAAAAUUCUAUUAUUUUGGACUCCACAUGAGUAUAUCUACACAAUAAACAUAUGAUAUUGUAUGCUUUAAUACAAAAACUAGUUUUAAAAGUUGAAUAAAAAACCAGAGUUUUGUAGAUGAGGGGGAAAAAUUGGACGACGAACUUGUAGGUCAAAAGCUUUCAAACUGCUACUAGCAACUAGAAGUUGGGCCGUAAGUGGAUAAUUCCAGGCAGAAGAUUCAUGGGCUUCAGGCCUGCACAAGCUACACGAGUUCAGGGUCGGCACUCCGGCUUCAGUUUUUUUUCUCAUCUUGGAUUUCUCGAUGAGCGCCUUAAGUCCAGACAAACACAUUCGCCUCAUUUUUGGGCUGAAUCUGAAUAAGUCUGUCAUCCCGAGGCUUGCCCCAUUCCGCCUUGGCCCUUGGCGCCGAUGACGACGUGGCGGUACAUACAGCGGCGCUGCAGCAGCUGCAGUCUCACCGAGUGGCCGUGAGGCGCAGUGGGGGCGGUGAAUGCAUGGACGCGCAACUAGUGCUGUCGCAUUAGCGGGAAUUGCAAACAACCUCCGCCCCCGCUACGCCGCGGGCUUGGUACUUCUGUCCAUGGUGGCAGACGGGCUGAUGCAGUCUUGACUUGCGGUGCCUAUGGGGAAGAGUCGCAUACCCACGAGGUGAUUGGGUUGCGUAGAACGGGGCAAGCAGUGGCAUCCACGAACCAAGUAAGUAUUGCGGAUUUGCUCUGAUAGUUCUCGCAAGCGUCCACCAAUCUGAUUAGGUACUUAAGUUUAUGGAAAAAAAAGUGUUCUGAUUUGAAUUGCGUGGAUUUUAUUUAUUGUGAUUCAGUUCAACGACCUCUGAAACGGGGGAUAACAGCCAUAAGAUUACUUAUCACGAGGCUUUAGAUAUGAUGUGCUGCUAUCUGGAUUUCCAGGACGGCCUCUGGUGAAAAUUUUAAAAGGGACUAGUUAUAUGAUUUAUAUUCUUCUGUCUCUGGAAGAAUCUGGCACUACUGGGAAUAACGCAACUCAAUUUCAAGCAAAAAUUAUGCCUCUUUCCUGGCCUAUUGUACACGAAUGGUAAUGUUCAGCUUCAUCUUAUUCUGACAGCUCUGCUCUGGUAUCUUACUUGAUGCUGCUCGCCAUCCUAAGAUGCAUCAUACCAUAACUCUAGUAUGAAGAAAUGUGUCUCCCUGAGCAAAAAAAUAAGUUAAUAUGUGUACCCAACUUGAUACCAGUUUAGAUGUGCACAUUUGAUUCUAUAAAUUACUAAUACUGGACGUAUAUGGAUAUUAGUAUUUAGUAUUUUAUCUGAAAAAAACUCCCUUUGGGUUUUGCUAUGUAUUAGGUUCUAUGCAAGAUACUAUAAUAAGAUAGUAGCCUUUCUUUAAAAACUUGUCACAAUACCUUCAGAUUUGAACACCAUCAAUGUGCUUGGUCUGGAACCCAUUACUCUAGAGUAUGUGGUCAUCUCACAAAGUUGGUUAUUAUCAUAGGAUUUUUAUUCUUGACCAUGGGCAGGACUGUCAUAUAACUUCUUAAUUCAAAUGCUUUAUCUCCUCAGCUUUUAGGCCUUCACUAGAACCUUGUGUUUCAGCAGAGCUGUUGGGACUCAUGCUUUCUGUAUCCAAAUUGUAAACUGGAUCUUCGCUGGAAAAAAGAGAAAUGAAUUGUAGAUAUAAAAUUACUAGAAAAAAAAUGACAACUGCAGAAAUGUCUUGAGAGAAUAUCUUACAGUAUUUGACUGAAGUUCUGCUUUGGUGGCAUGUCCAGUUUGUGUAAGUCUCUUUCAAACAUUUCUAAAACCUUGGUUAUGGUAGGGCGAUGCAUAGGUAAAAUUUGGAUGCACCACAGACCAAUUAGAGUCAUCUUUCUGGCAAUUUCUUCUACUUCACUUGUGACUUCACAAACUGUAAUCCAUCGUGCUGGGCAAAGUGAUCAUAAAUCCAAUGUGGAAAAUACUUUUCACUUGAUUUUUGAACUAUUGAUUUCACAUUUUUCCUGCCUCCAACCAUCUCUAGCAACAUCAUUUCAUAACUAUACACAUUUGAUUCUGUUGAGACAACUCCAAAAGUUCGAGAGUGAACUUCAGGAGCAAUGAAUCCAAUUGUUCCUCUAGCUCCAGUCAUUGAAAACCUACUCUCCUUGGUAUGACACAAUUUAGCUAAACCAAAAUCAGCAAUCUUUGGGCAGAAGUCCUUAUCUAGAAGGAUAUUUUGAGGUUUGAUAUCAAAGUGGACAAUUCAUGUAUUUCAACUAUGAUGCAAGUAUUCUAGACCGUGAGCAAUCCCAAUUGCUAUUGUAUAGAGCUUUUGCCACCCUAAAGUUUCUUUGGGCUUGUCAGAGUAAAUGUACUGAUCUAGAGAACCAUUAGGCACGUACUCAUAUAUAAGUGCUCUUUUUGAGUGUUCCAAACAAAAGCCAAAUAAGUUAACGAUGUUGACGUGGGAUGUCCUUCCAAUGCUCAUAACCUCAUUUACGAGCUUGUGCUCCUUGUCUUUUCACCAAGGAGAAACCAUAGUCUUUUUACUGCCCUCUUCCGUAUCAGCACACAAAUGCAUGGAAAGAGUAAACUUGCAGCUGCUGCCACCAAAACUGAGAUUAACGCAGAUGUUAUUUACUUCAUAUAUAAACAAUAAAUGUCUGUAGUAUAUUUUAUAUCAUUUUUAUUCUUUUUCAAGGAAUGAGUCCAUCCAUGAUCCCUCAACUCUUCUCAUGGUCUAAUUUUCAUUGCCCUCUUAAAAACUUGUUAUAAUACAUUAACUAUUAAAACAAUACAAGUCUUUAUAAAAAAAACCAUGCAAAUCACAUCCCUAGACUGCCACAGCUUUUUGCCACAUUAGCUGCCAUGUUAUCAGCUUGGUUCACAUCAACAAUGCUUCUGCUUCCUUGGAUCCUUGUUCUGUACAGAGCAUGUCUAGACUUGAAGUGGCAGUUCACUGACGAUCUUACUUUUUACUACUAUAGACUAGAGAAGCUAGGGAGCGACAUAUACGUGAUCAUUAUUAGAUAUAGAUGGUGGACCACAUUAUUAUUGCCUUGGCUUGAUUGGGAGAGUCCUUAGUCUUUUUGUCCAGCCUGUGGGUCAAGCUUGGUGAAAAUGCUUCUUAAGUCUUAACAGUGGUUGGGGUGGGUUUUCAGAUGGAUCAAGAGUUGGAGAAGGUGUUUCACUCAGUAUGAGGAACCGAAGUUUCAUCAAGCGAAGAGUUGAAGGACUAUGGACAGACUUUUCGAUUUUUUAAACAGGUAUCAUAUUAUGCUCCAGACGAAGUAAUUACCAAUGAGAUGACAGCCUGAUUAAAAAAGAUUCUAUCAAGACAUAAUGUGAGUAUUAUUUACCUAUUAAUAUUAUGGUCCCAGUGUUAGUGGUCUUGCUUCCUGCAACAGACAUGCUGAGGUUACUAAUUUUGCACUCAAAUUAAGAAAACAUAUGCUUGAAACAUAAAUAUUUUUGAGAUAGCACUGCACUACAGAUAUGCGGUGAAUGAUGAUUUGCCUUGAUACUGAGCUGUCAAUCAUUAUGUACAAAGAUUUUUCAUAAGUCGUGCAUAUGUAAGCAUGCUUUUUUGUCUGUAUGUACUGAUAAUAAUACUAAGUGCACCGGUUGCUUUCACUUACCGGGCUUAUAGUCGUAUACAUAAGUAUUUUAUCGUGCUAUAGUCCUAACAUGUCCAACUAAUUUUGUCCAAACAGUCAAUACCACCAGUGGUAGCCGGGACGAGGUCUAACGUGCCGCUGCAGUUGUAGAUGAAGCAAAGGGCUCGGUUCCGGCGGCUAAUCGUGAAG